UUUGUCUAUAGAUGGCACUGUGGA
rnacentral:misc_RNA from 1 species